UACGAAGGGGGCUAGCGUUGUUCGGAAUUACUGGGCGUAAAGCGCGCGCAGGCGGCCUUUCAAGUCAGUGGUGAAAGCCCGGAGCUCAACUCCGGAACUGCCAUUGAAACUGUUUGGCUUGAGUACGAGAGAGGUGAGUGGAAUUCCCAGUGUAGAGGUGAAAUUCGUAGAUAUUGGGAAGAACACCGGUGGCGAAGGCGGCUCACUGGCUCGUUACUGACGCUCAGGCGCGACAGCGUGGGGAUCAAACAGG
rnacentral:rRNA from 1 species